AAGUAAGAUGAAGAGGAGAGGUGGAAAGGGAAAAAACCCUUGCGUAAUCUCAGCUGCCGCCUCCUGUUCUGUCUUCAUUGCUUGUGCUUACUAGGAAGGUCAAGUGUUUGCGAAGGAGACAAUGGCGGGACAAGCUGCUGACAGCAUUAAUCAAGGGCUUCGUGUUAAAGCAACGCUUAAACUUGGGUCAGAAUUGUAUGCCGUCAAUUCAUGCAAUGGUAAUACUGUUUCUGAGCAAUUGGUUUCCAUGAAAGAGCAGAGCAUGAGCAUUUUGAAGGAAUUCAUCACUAAACAUAAUGUUCCUCAUGAUGUCCCUGAUGAAAUAGCUGAAAGCUCUUCAGAAGAUGAAGUCCUUGAGAAUCCUCGAGUUAAAACGAAGAAAUCAAAACUUACUUGAUAUUUCCUUUUUUCUUUGCUUGAAGUUGAAAACAUGGAAGUUAAGCUUCUUUUGUAUGAUUCUCGUUAUCCUGAACAAAAUAUUCCAAGUAUUAAGAAUAGGUAGUUAUGUUGCUUGA